GUAGAGACAAUGUGCAUGUAUAGAGCAUGCGUGGGUGCGUAGGCGCAAGGGCGCUUGAUGGUGCACUUUGUACUUCCGAACCAUCACGAGAGCAAGGGCGCACUUCCUAAAGGAGAUGAGAGCAAGGGCGCACUUCCGAAAGGAGAUUUGUAACAACAGCCAUCACGAGAGUUAAAGUGCAUGUAACUUGUAGCCGUUGAUGGUGCAUGUAACCAUCACUACGAGUGAGUUAAGGGGCUAUAUGUAACUUGUAGCUGUUGGUGGUGGUUACAUAUAAUGGGGCUUCUAUCCCGAGAUGAUAUUUAGAACAAAGAAAAAAACCAUAACUCUCUCUCUGUACUCGAUUUUCUCUCUUUCUCUAUCUAAUACAACAAGACACUGGUAUCUCACAUGUGGGUUCUAAGCUUGGG
rnacentral:lncRNA from 1 species